CAGAUUACAUUCAGGUGACCAGGCAAGUUCCUUAUGACAACUGGAAUCAUGAGCUGCACUGGUCACUGUCUCUGAAUAAUCACCUACUAGUAACUCUGGA